UACGUAGGGGCAAGCGUUGUCCGGAUUAUUGGGCGUAAAGAGCGUGUAGGCGGCCAGGUAGGUCUGCUGUGAAAACUCGAGGCUUAACCUCGAGCUGUCGGCGGAAACCAUCUGGCUAGAGUCCGGAAGAGGAGAAUGGAAUUCCCGGUGUAGCGGUGAAAUGCGCAGAUAUCGGGAAGAACACCCGUGGCGAAGGCGGUUCUCUGGGACGGUACUGACGCUGAGACGCGAAAGCGUGGGGAGCGAACAGG
rnacentral:rRNA from 1 species